rnacentral:rRNA from 1 species
UUGAACGCUGGCGGCAUGCUUUACACCUGCAAGUCGAACGGUAACAGGGUGCUUGCCCCGCUGACGAGUGGCGAACGGGUGAGUAAUGCAUCGGAAUGUACCGUGUAAUGGGGGAUAGCUCGGCGAAAGCCGGAUUAAUACCGCAUACGCCCUGAGGGGGAAAGUGGGGGACCGAAAGGCCUCACGUUAUACGAGCAGCCGAUGUCUGAUUAGCUAGUUGGUGAGGUAAAGGCUCACCAAGGCGUCGAUCAGUAGCGGGUCUGAGAGGAUGAUCCGCCACACUGGGACUGAGACACGGCCCAGACUCCUACGGGAGGCAGCAGUGGGGAAUUUUGGACAAUGGGCGCAAGCCUGAUCCAGCCAUGCCGCGUGUCUGAAGAAGGCCUUCGGGUUGUAAAGGACUUUUGUCCGGGAGCAAAUCCUAGUGGUUAAUAACCGCUGGGUCUGAGAGUACCGGAAGAAUAAGCACCGGCUAACUACGUG